UCUACACUAAUGCCUUCAGCAUGAGGAACAAACAAGAGGUGCCUGAAGGUGUGGCCCAAUCCCAGAGAUUGACAUCAUUGGCAUAAGUGAAACCUGCUGGGAUAAGUCCUGUGUCUGGAGUGCCCUGCUGGACAGGUACCAGGAUCCAUCAGUGCUGAUCACUUCUUAAUCACCUCCUAAGGGCCCAGGAGCAGGCAAUUCCCAAAUGUCAGAAGUCAAGCAGGUGAGGCAGAAGGCCAGCUUGGCUGAACAAGAAUCUUCUCUUGGAAAUAAGGCAAAAAAUGAAAGAGUAUGGCCAGUGGAAGCAAGGACCUGAUAAUGCCCAUGUUUUCUAUGCUAAAAGACAUAAGAUCAUGUCCAGAGGAAAGUAUAUAAUGAGAAACAACAGUGGAGUUUUAGAGAGAUUCUUCACAUGCUGCUUGUCUAAAACAGUAGUGUACUAGGCCUCAGCCAGCAUUCAAGACAUCCCUGUGAACUCUCCAUGGGAUGAUGGAAAAUUAAAGUGAGUUUGAAAAGAAUGAUCUGACAUUGACAUUGUUGACCACUUCACUUGCUCAUAGGACUGGGUGUCACAAAGACACAUAUGUCCCUUGUUUUGGGAAUGAUAUAUUUAUUCUGUAAAUUCAGUCCUGUCACCAGUCACAUUAUAAAUUUUGCAACUAUUUCUUUUUCUUGACACUGUUCAUAUAAUUGUAUGUUUUCUUACACUUACCAGUUUUCUUUAAAAAAGGCUGCUAAUGAUUCAAAUGCAUGAUGUAAUCUCAGUAUUAAAAUC